AUUAUUUUGACAGAUUAAAUGUGUUAAAUUUAGAAUUUAAUUAUACAUAUAGAUUUUAUAUGUAGAUAAUA
rnacentral:tRNA from 1 species